AAUCGAGUGAUGAGGGCAGCUAGACAUUAUUUUCUUGAAUCUCUCUCAAAAUUCAUGUAAGGAUUCUCUAUCAAUCUGUCUAAUACCACAUAUUUCUUUUCUGAUU